CCUACGGGAGGCAGCAGUGAGGAAUAUUGGUCAAUGGACGCAAGUCUGAACCAGCCAUGCCGCGUGCAGGAAGACGGCCCUAUGAGUUGUAAACUGCUUUUGUACGAGGGUAAACGCAGAUACGCGUAUCUUUCUGAAUGUAUCUUACGAAUAAGGAUCGGCUAACACCGUGCCAGCAGCCGCGGUAAUACGGAGGAUUCAAGCGUUAACCGGAUUUAUUGGGUUUAAAGGGUGCGUAGGCGGUCGGAUAAGUUAGAGGUGAAAUCCCGAGGCUCAACUUCGGAAUUGCCUCUGAUACUGUUAGGCUAGAGAGUAGUUGCGGUAGGCGGAAUGUAUGGUGUAGCGGUGAAAUGCUUAGAGAUCAUACAGAACACCGAUUGCGAAGGCAGCUUACCAAGCUACGUCUGACGUUGAGGCACGAAAGCGUGGGGAGCAAACAGGAUUAGAUACCCGUGUAGUC
rnacentral:rRNA from 1 species